rnacentral:rRNA from 1 species
GGAGGAAUAUUGGUCAAUGGGCGGGAGCCUGAACCAGCCAAGCCGCGUGAGGGAAGAAGGCCCUAUGGGUCGUAAACCUCUUUUGUCAGGGAACAAAAGCGAGUAUGUAUACUAGUCUGAGUGUACCUGAAGAAAAAGCAUCGGCUAACUCCGUGCCAGCAGCCGCGGUAAUACGGAGGAUGCGAGCGUUAUCCGGAUUUUAUUGGGUUUAAAGGGUGCGUAGGCGGCGAUGCAAGUCAGCGGUAAAAGCCCGGGGCUCAACCCCGGCGAGCCGUUGAAGCUGCAGUGCUAGAGAAGGCGAGAGGUACGCGGAAUGCGCAGUGUAGCGGUGAAAUGCUUAGAUAUUGCGCAGAACUCCGAUUGCGAAGGCAGCGUACUGGCGCCUGACUGACGCUGAGGCACGAAAGCGUGGGGAUCGAAACAGGAGUUAGAUACC